GGGCAGUGGCGCGGAGGCGGCGGCGGGGCUGGCGCGGGGUGUCCGCCCGGCGGAGGAUGGUCCCGGCGCUGGGGCCGCCGCGCAGCGCGCCCGGCCCGACCGCUCUCUUCUCCGAAACCAUGCCAGAGAUGACAGAGAAUGAGACACCUACAAAGAAGCAGCAUCGAAAGAAAAACCGGGAGACACAUAAUGCAGUGGAGAGACAUCGAAAGAAGAAGAUUAAUGCUGGGAUAAACAGAAUUGGAGAACUCAUUCCCUGCUCUCCAGCACUUAAGCAGAGCAAGAACAUGAUCCUGGAUCAGGCCUUUAAGUACAUAACAGAAAUGAAAAGACAGAAUGAUGAGCUUCUGUUAAAUGGAGGGAACAAUGAGCAGGCUGAAGAGAUAAAAAAACUCCGGAAACAAUUGGAUGAACUGCAAAAGGAAAACGGGAGAUACAUCGAGCUACUGAAAGCCAAUGAUAUUUGCUUGUAUGAUGACCCUACAAUCCACUGGAAAGGAAACCUCAAAAAUGCCAAGGUCUCAGUUGUUAUUCCCAGUGAUCAGGUUCAGAAGAACAUCAUUGUCUAUUCAAAUGGGACUCAGCCAAAUGGAAAUAACCAGGGAGCAUCUGUGCAGGGAAUAACGUUUAAUGUCGGUCAUAAUUUACAAAAGCAAACAGCCAACGUUGUGCCAGUUCAGAGAACUUGCAACCUAGUGACUCCUGUGACGAUUGCUGGUAUUUAUCCCACAGAAAAUAAACCAUGGUCACAACCUACAGUUUCUCCACUGGCUUCUGCUCAGACAGCUCCGGCAGGGAAUGUUCUUGAGCUCUCCACCCCGGAGAACGAGCGAAGUGUGCCCACUGCUGCUCCUGCCAGCUCACAGGGCACACCUCGGCCUGCAGCAGAACAGGAACUACAAUGUCCUUCAAGUAAUGCUCCACAGAAUGAGCAAAAUCCCCCCAAAAGUAAAAGUGAUGAGGAGGGCACUAAAUCAACAAAGAAAACGCUCCCGCAGGGAACCAGCCUUCCUUCCAGUGCCUCCGUGGAAGCCUCCCAGGGUCAGCAGGUGAAUGCAACUUGCUCAAAUACACACAAUUCCAGAAGUGACCUCCAGGAGAGCGGUGCCAUUUCAACCACGGACACAGCUUGUGCGCCACCUGUGAGAUUGUCUGCUGCAGAGAGCUGCUCUUCUGCAAAUGUCCCCAAAAGUACGGACGUGGUCAGCAGUGCUGGCACGCCUGCGACGUCUACAGCAGAAGGAGUUAAGGCUGUGACAGCAAUAAGCACUCUGGCUGCCAGUCCUCUGGAGAACUGCUGGUCUUUUUCAGGCUCUUCAGGUGUUGGCACUUCAGACUUGAAAAACAUGAGUAGCCUUACCCGGAUGCCUUCAGCUGGGAACACGCAGACCACGUGGACCACCUUGCAGCUGGCAGGAAACACGGUUCAGCCGCUGAGCCAGACGCCACCCGGGAUAAUGACUGCCCUCCUCAACGAGCCAGUCAAUGGUGCUGGGACUGUGUCUUCUGCCCACAGCAGGCCUUUGACUACAAGUAUCAGUUUGCAUGCUUCUCUGCCUGGGGAUGGCCAGGCAGCUGAACAGAUUGUAGUUACCUUGCCCUCGUGCCCACCUGUACCUAUACAGCCUUUAAUCAGCCAGCCACAGGUUAAAGCUCAGGCUGCAGGAAAUAUCCUUCCAUUAAACUCAGCUAUGCAGGUGAUUCAGAUGGCUCAGCCAGUCGCCUCAGCUGUGACAGGAGCACCAGCUAACCAGAAUGUCAUCAUUCUCCAGCCUCCAAACCCUGCUCCAUGCCCGCCCAUUGUGAGAGCGGACGUUCCCAGCCAAAAUGUUAGUCAGCAAAUUGUAAUUAUACAAGCUGCAAAUCAGAAUCCUCUUCCUCUCCUCUCUGCUCAGCCUUCUGCUUCUGUAAGAGUUCCCGUGAAUGGGCCGACUGCAGUCGCCAAUUCCAGCGGCUCCAUGCAAAAUGCCUCCCUUCCACAGACUUUUGGAGGGAAACACCUUGUCCAUAUAUUACCAAGGCCAUCUUCUUUGCCAUCUUCUAGCUCUACGCAGACAUUUUCAGUGACAAUGUCCAACCAACAGCACCCUCAGACUAUCUCAUUAAACGGGCAGCUUUUUGCAUUGCAGCCUGUGAUGUCUUCAUCCGGAGCUUCAAACCAAGCCCCUAUGCAAAUUAUUCAGCCCACCACCAGCGAAGAUCCAAAUACCAAUGUUGCCCUCAACACAUUUGGUGCUUUAGCUAACCUCAAUCAAAGCAUAUCGCAAAUGGCUGGACAGAGCUGCUUGCACUUGUCUCUCAGCCACCCCACCAAUCCUGCAACUGUCAAUAACCAGAUUGCCACAGUUAACUGUGUGUCACUGCCAACUUCUGUGGCAUCUUCAGUGCCUGCAGAGGUUUCGGUAUUAACCAGUGCGUCUAAUUCCAUAAACGCUUCCCCGCAAAAAGCGGCUGCUGGCUUGCCAUCCAGUGCAAAAUCAAAAAGGACAAACAAAAAGCCAAGCACAAAGAAACACCUAGCAGUCAAUAAUAAAGUGUCCUGCCCAGCAGUUCCUUGCAAGGAUGCAGGGAAGGUGGACUGUGCUCCUGUGGAAACGGUGGCCAAGCCCUCAAGUGGCAAAGGGCCACCAGAAAACGCCCCAGCAGUGUCACAGGCUGUAACCACACCGCAGACGGGCAGCACGGCUGCAUCGAGCGGCGUCAGCAUUUCUGACUCUCCUUCCAAAGAGGCUGCAAGCUCCGAACAGGCAGUGAAAGCCCCCUCUGCUCCAGAGCCAAGCGUGGCAGAGGCGCCUGCUUCCUCACCGCUGGAGUCUGUAGUGUCAGAGCAGCUGCUGCUCGCUCCCCCGCCGGCCAAAGAUGCUGCUCCUCGCCAGCAAGCCCAGGGAUCUCAGAGCCACCCAACUGCUUCUGUCCCGUCAGAGUCUCCCAAACCCUGUGAACCCCCCAGCACCUUAACAUCCUCUGGUAAAGAAGCACAGGUUACACAUUUGCAGGUUGCAAAUGGGACUUCAGCAGCACAGAGCAACACAGCAGGUCAUACUUCCAAGGCAGGAAUGAUUUCGGAGUCCUGCAACGCUGCGCAGGAUUCCUCAGUGGUAAUGCAAGAUGCGGACUUGUUAGAAGGACAGGGUCUAACCAAAAUGCUGUCUGAUCUCACAAAAGAAAGAACAGCUGUGGAAAAAACCUCUUCCUUUACUGUUCAGGGGGAGCAUUCUAAUUUUCCUAUGGAAAACUCUAAAUCAGCAGAAUCAAAUGUUGAUUUGCCUGAGAAGCAGGAACUCUUGUUGAUGAAUACAGAAAGUGACACUCUCUCCCAGCCUCACUCCUGCAUCUCUGAUCAGGAAGUAGUCAGUGCUUCCCUUAUUACUAGCAGGCAGGCAGACUCCCCCAUGUCAACCAGCUCUGGCAGCAGUCGAGGCUUCUCAGUUGCAUCUAUGUUGCCAGAUACCACCAGAGAAGAUGUCACAAGCAGCACCUCCACCAGUACCUGUAACAGCUGCACAUUUUCAGAACAGACUGACAUUGUAGCUCUUGCAGCCAGAGCUAUUUUUGACCAGGAAAGCCUUGAGAAAACUGGAGGGGGAAUACAGGUUAGCACGAGGGAUGUCAUCUCCAAGUCUGAGGUCGCACCUUUGGAGAGAGAGCAACAGCCUUUUAAACCUCAGUCAGUGAAAGAAAACAACGCAGGGCCGCUGGAAGCGGCACCAAACAAAUUCAGUGCUCAUGAAACAGUACAGACAAAUGUCGACAGGCAGAUUGAGAAGCCAAGCUGCUCUGUAGGAGGUGUGGAAACAUCAAACACUCCUUUGCAGAUUUCCUCUUCCCAGACACCCAGCAUAACCAGUCUAAGCGUGAAUAAUCUGAUACACCAGAGCCGCACUGUCCAUCCCCUGGUGAGUUGCUCGGGUUUAUCCCAGCCUUCAGAGCCUGCAAGCGUCCCUGCAACCGUGAGCCUCUCCCUUCCAUCUAGCACAUACAUCAAUCCGUCUCCGGGACCUGCUCUGAUGAGUGAAUAUGCUCAGGAACAACUGAAUGCUAUCAGGGCAAGCAGCAUGCAGGCUCCCCAGCUGCAGGAACCACACUUAAAGCAGCAAAACCAUGAAGGUCGCAAGGACUCUGCCAAGAGGGCCGUUCAAGAUGACCUUCUGCUUUCUACAGCAAAGAGGCAAAAGCAGUGCCAGACAGCACCCAUAAGGCUUGAGGGGAUGGCUCUGAUGAACCGGACACCAGAGGGUAUUGCUGAUCAAACACAGAUGCUGGUUAGUCAGAUUCCUCCUAAUUCAUCCAACUCAGUGGCACCAGUGAGCAAUCAAGGGCACGCUGAUGGCCUCAGUAGGUUAUUCCCACCCAACAGCAAUUUCGUAACGCCGGCUUUGAGACAAACUGAAGUUCAGUGCGGUUCUCAGCCACCGCUUUCAGAGCAGCCAGGCCAGGCAGCGCAGCACUUGCAGCCAAUCCAACACAUCCCUGCCCAAGGCAUCUCCCACCUUCACAGUAAUCACCCGUACUUGAAGCAGCAGCAGGCUGGGCAGUUAAGAGAGAGGCACCACUUGUACCAGCUGCAGCACCACAUCAGUCAUGGGGAAAACUCAGUCCACUCUCAACCCCACAGCGUCCACCAACAGCGAACGAUACAGCAGGAGGUGCAGAUGCAAAAGAAAAGGAAUCUCAUCCAGGGAACACAGGCCACACAGCUUUCUCUACAGCAAAAACACCACGGAAGUGAUCAAACACGGCAGAAAGGUGGUCAGCCCCAUCCUCACCACCAACAGAUGCAGCAGCAGAUGCAGCAGCACUUUGGAGCUUCCCAGCCUGAAAAGAACUGUGAAAAUCCUGCAACAAGCAGAAACCACCAUAACCACCCUCAGAGCCAUAUCAAUCAGGACAUUAUGCAUCAACAGCAACAGGAUGUUGGCAGCAGACAGCAAGGUUCUACUUCAGAACACGUGUCAGGACACAAUCAGAUGCAAAGACUUAUGACCUCGAGGGGCUUAGAGCAGCAAAUGGUGUCGCAGGCCAGUAUCGUUUCCAGACCAUCAGAUAUGACAUGCACCCCUCACAGGCAGGAAAGAAACAGAGUUUCCAGCUACUCUGCUGAGGCUCUCAUUGGGAAGACACCCUCUAAUUCUGAGCAGAGAAUAGGGAUAUCUCUUCAAGGCCCUAGGGUUUCUGACCAGCUUGAAAUGAGAAGCUAUCUUGAUGUUUCUAGAAGUAAAGGGUUGGCGAUUCAUAAUAUGCAGGGCCGCUUGUCAGUUGAGCACACAGUUGGCUCGGAUGUGCAGCGUCUUUCUGAUUGCCAAACAUUUAAGCCCUCUGGACCCAAUCAACAACCGACGGGCAAUUUCGAUGUACAGGCUUCAAGAAACAGUGACAUUGGCAAUUCUGUGUCCUCCCUCCGGGGCAUGCAGUCACAAGCGUUCCGAAUCGGUCAGAAUGCUGCGCCAUCCAUAGAGAGGCAGAAGAGACUGCCCUACCAGCCAGUACAGGGUAUUCCAACGGGGAAUACCCUGCCAUCGAGGGAAAACGAAAACACAUGCCACCAAAGUUUCAUGCAGAGUUUGCUCGCCCCUCACCUUGGAGAUCAAGUCAGUGGAAGCCAAAGAUCAAUGCCAGAACAUCAAAGGAACACACAGUGUGGUGCCUCCUCCACAAUCGAGUACAACUGUCCCCCAGCACGGGAGAGCGUCCACAUCCGAAGGGAUGGUGAUGGCCAGAGCAGGGAAAGCUGUGACAUGUCCAUUGCGGCAAUUAACACAAGGAACAGUUCAUUGACUAUUCCUUUUUCGAGUUCUUCUUCCUCAGGAGACAUUCAGGGUCGCAACACAAGCCCUAACAUCUCUGUGCAGAAGUCCAACCCCAUGAGGAUGACAGACAGUCAUGGAACUAAGAACCACAUGAAUACACCCGUGUCCAGCAAUAUGCAUGGAGUUGUGAGGCCAACUCACCCUCACCCUGCAGUUUCUCAUGGAAACGGCGAGCAAGGGCAGCCUUCUGUUCGUCAGCCAAAUUCUUCGGUCACUCAGCGCUCGAGGCAUCCUCUGCAAGACAAUGGAAGUUCUAAAAUACGUCAGCCCGAGAGGAAUCGAUCCGGAAAUCAGAGACAUGGAAAUGUCUUUGACCCUAGUCUUCCCCAUCUUCCUCUGUCCACCAGCGGCAGCAUGAUCCUUGGGCGCCAACAGUCCACGAUAGAAAAAAGAGGAAGCAUUGUCCGAUUUAUGUCUGAUGGCCCUCAAGUGUCCAACGAUAACACAGCCCCUGACCAACAUACGCUGUCCCAGAAUUUUGGAUUCCCUUUUAUUCCAGAGGGUGGCAUGAAUCCACCAAUAAAUGCUAACGCUUCUUUCAUCCCACCAGUCACUCAGCCUAGUGCCACUCGGACACCAGCUCUAAUCCCAGUUGAUCCUCAGAAUACACUGCCGUCCUUCUAUCCACCUUACUCUCCUGCCCACCCUACCCUUUCCAAUGACAUUUCUAUCCCUUACUUUCCCAAUCAAAUGUUCCCAAACCCAAGCACGGAGAAGCCGAGCAGUGGAGGUUUAAACAAUCGAUUUGGAUCCAUUUUGUCUCCUCCUAGGCCUGUUGGUUUUGCUCAGCCAAGUUUUCCUCUGCUUCCAGAUAUGCCACCAAUGCACAUGACCAACACAUCGCACUUAUCCAAUUUUAACUUAACUUCUUUGUUUCCAGAAAUAGCCACAGCUCUUCCUCCAGAUGGCUCAGCGAUGUCACCUUUGCUUUCCAUUGCAAACACAUCUGCUUCAGAUUCUUCCAAGCAGCCCUCAAACCGCCCUGCCCACAAUAUAAGCCAUAUUUUAGGUCAUGACUGCAGCUCAGCUGUAUGAAAACUGGCAGACUGACUUCUGGUCUGAUUUGUUGUUUAUAUAUUUAAGAAGAAGGAAGCGGAUCUUAGUGUCACCCCUGGAGAGACCAUUCAUAGCAUCACUGUUUAUUUGCCUCAAUGAUCUUGUUUGGAUCUGUUUCAACAGUGGCUUCAGUUACUGCUGAACUCAGUGUUUCAGUGUAGCUCACGACUCCUCAUGCAGUCUGCAGAGACAGCAGCCGUGUUUGUUGCCAUUUCAUUGUUGAUUGCUGCAAGUUACCUCAGGGUGGGUUUUGUACCUUGUUUAGCACCUUCUUAAUGUCUUUUUUUUUUCCCCUCUCCACUUCUCUUUGGCCCAUGCUCUAACACCAGCUCUCUGCUUUCUGUGAGUGACAGCCCUGUGUUGUACCAGGCAGCACAUGGAAGGAGGACUGAGCCCCCAUUGCAUCCCACAAAAUGAGUGGAGAUUCCUGGGGGCACAGCUUUUACUUGAUAUUGCUGAUAGGAUUGAGCCUGAGUUAAUAUCAGUACUCUGCACUUGAAUGCACCUUUUAUCUAAACCUGUGUGAUUGAGGCUGAAGGAGAAACAUGGAUGUGUUGAGAGUGAAACACACAGGAAGACAUUGGGAUUUGAGGAAGGGUGAUGUGUUUGUAGAUGCAUGAGAGAGGGAGUGAAUGUGUGUGUGUGCUGGCUGAGUCUUCAGUACUUUCACAAAUUUUGGUCCUCAUUCUUUUAAAGGAAAGGGAAGAAUUAGGUAAAUUUUAUUUAUUUAAUGUCUCUGCAGUGUGGUUUUUCUUCUAACAGGGCAGAAGUACUUAUCUUUUAUGUGUUUGGAAGUACCAUUCUGGUUUUGAUUCUUCAAACAACGUAGUAACUUGAGGUUCCCUGGCAUGCAGUCAUCCUCUGCUUGUGUGUUGCUCACAUCUUCUUGUUGCUCCUGGGACCUGUCAGAAGCUCCUGGUGAGGGCAUGGGCAGGAGCAGGCUCCCUGGGAUUUUUUGUUUUGUUUCUUUUUCUUUGAAAGGUGGAAAGGAAGAUAUUCCUCCGUGUCAAAGAACAGGACCCACAAAGAGGGACCUAGAACAGUUUUCCACAGCUUGACUGCCCAGAGUUUGGUUUUGCUAAGCUCUUUUACACUGAUCCAGGAAAGCAAGGAGGCUUUAACAUGAAAAAUAAUUGGGCUGUAUCUGUAGUCUGUCCUGAUGUCUCUGCUCUUGUAACCUGUGGUCUGGUGUUUUCCUGCAAGGUGAAGUAAAACAGUUCUGAUCCUGGUUGGGAAUCUCAGAAUGAACUAGGCUGGAAAAACCUUUGAGAUCCUCAAGCCCAACCCAUGACCUAACCUAACACCUCCUCAUCAACUAAGCCAUGGCACUGAGUGCCACGUCCAGUCUUUUCUAAACAUGUCCAGGGAUGCUGACUCCCCCACCUCCCUGGCCAGACAAUUCCAUUGCCCCAUCAGUCUUUCAGUGAAUAGUUUUUUUCUGAUGUCUAACCUUAACUUCCCCUGGUGCAGCUUAAGAGUGUGUCCUCUCAUUCUGUCAGUUGCUGCCUGGAGAAAGAGACCGACCCCCACCUGGCUACAGCCACCUUUUAGGGAGUUGCAGAGAGUGAUAAGGUCACCUCUGAGUCUCCUUUUCUCCAGGCUAAACACCCCCAGCUCCCUCAGUCGUUCCUCACAGGCCUGGUGUUCCAAGCCUUUCGCCAGCCUCCUUGCCUCCUCUGGACACAUUGGAGCAUCUCGACGCCCUUCCCAAACUGAGGGGCCAGAACUGGACACAGCACUCAAGGUGCAGCCUCACCAGUGCUGAGUACAGGGGAAGAAUGACCCCCCUGCUCCUGCUGGCCACACUAUGCCUGACAGGAAUGCCAGGAUGCUGUUGGCCUUCUUGGCCACCAGGGCACACUGCUGGCUCAUGUUCAGUCGGGUGUCAGCCAGUACCCCCAGGACCCUUUCUGCCUGGAAUCAUGAUUUAAUUCAGGUGGAGCUUAUCUUAAGACACUAAAUCUAAGUAGUGCAUCAGUUCUCUGUUUCUUAUAAGUAAUUGAGUAUUUCAGUUCACACAAGGCAGUUUCUCUCUGCCACAGUGCAGUCACCACGUGGCAGCCACUGGCCUGUGCAGGAGGCAGGGGUUAGGAAUGAGGCAGCUCUCAAACCAGCUAAGCCAACUGCAGGUCCGGGUGUGCCCUGGUGAGACUCUUGAUCAAAGGGGUGUCUGUGGUGCAGGAAAUCUCAAAGGGUCUGCCUCAAGUGGUGAGGUGAGUUCUGUAACAGCACCUGUUCCAUGGAUUCUGGAUGGUAGGGAUGGGAAUUGGAGCAGCAGCCACUCUGUGGUCACACACACUUGUCUGGUCUUUGAGAAGGGAAGCAAACGUGCCCGUUCUCGCUCUCUUUAAAUGUGUGCAGCAAUGUGUUUGGCUUUCAAGACAAACUAGUGAAAAAUUAAACCCUAGCUUCUAGGACUUUGUAUAAAGAUGCUAAUCCUGCUCAUCAUUCCAGACAUUCACAGAAAACCGUAUUGGUUUCCUCUGCUGGAAAACUGCACUACUUUAUGAUGUCUGUUAAAACUGGAGAGAGCUUAUAAACUUAAACCUGUUGCAAUGCUUGAAUGUCCACAGAUCCACUUGGCCAGAUAGGAUUCAUUCCAGAGUACUGAAGGAGCAAGCAGGACAUACAGCAUGACCUCACUUGAUCAUCUACAAAAUAUCUGGGAGUCUGGACAGAUCCCUGCUGACAGGAAGGAAGCCAGUGUUAUUCCAAUCUACAGAAAGGGCAUGAGGGAAGAACACAGGGAACUACAGACUGUGAGAGUCUGGGUUUCUGGAGAAAUUGUGACUAUUAUAAAUUAAUUAAUAUAAAUUGUGAAUAUUAUACUGGGUACUGUUGAAAGUUUUAAGGAAUAAUGCAGCAGGCAUAGGCAACAUGGGUUGACAAAGUUGAAGUCCUGUCUAGCUAAUUUGAUACUUUUCUGCAAUAAGGUCACCCACCUAGAGGGUGAAAAGAAGGCAGUGGAUGUAAUUUUUCUGCAUUUUAGUAAUGCUGUGGACACUGUCCCUCACAGCAUCCAUCUGGACAAGCUGUUCAGCUGUGGGAUUAACAGGUGUAUGGUGUGCUGGGUGAAGACCAGGCUGAAGGGCAGAGCUCAAAGGUCUCACAGUGAAUGGGGCUACUACCUCUGCUGGCACCUGCUCACUAGCAGUGUUGCCUGGGGCUCAGUUCCAGGGCCAGUUCUAUCCAAUGGAUUUAUCACUGUUCCGGAUACAUGAGCUGAACACACCACUGGCAAGUUUGCUGAUGAUACCAAACUUGGAGGUGCUGUUGGCAGAUGCUUUGGGUAGGGAUCUGGAUAGACAGUGAAUCUCCUUGCUCUCUGCAGCUCCCUGACAGGGGAAGUGCAGAGGGAGGUGCUGAUCUCUUCUCGCUGGGAUCCACUGACAGGCCACACGGGAAUGGCUCAAAGGAGCACUAAGGGAGGUUCAGACUGGACAUUGGGAAGCAUUUCUUUACCAGGAGAGUGGUCAGACACUGGAACAGGCUUGCUAGAAAGGUGGUUGAUGCCUCAAGCAUGUUUAAGAGGCAUUUGGACAACAUGCUCAAUCCUGAAAUGGAUGGAGACACUCCAGGCAGUUGGAAUGGAUGAUCUCUACAGGUCCCUUUCAACUGAAAUACCUGUUCUGUUUUCUUAUUCCUCCAUAUUUACUGCUGUUGUUUCAAGGUUAAAUGCAGUCCUGAGUAUUCACGAUAGAAUAUGUCAGCUGUGAUUUUAUUUCGGUUUUUUUCAUGCUGCACAUAUGUUCUGAAAAGGCAGUAACUGUCAGUAACUUUCACAUGCCCUCUUUUUGUUGACAAAGACAACCAAAACCAGCUCCUCCUUGCUCACAGGAUGCCUGCAGUGCAGGGAAUCACAGCACAGUCAUUUCAGCCAUACAAAGACUGUUGGGAUUUUGCAGGAAAUGCACCAUUUUGCAGUGAGCGGCUGAGGAGUACUUACUGUGUGACCCUUGGUCUUCUCUGGAGGAUUGUAUCUUGUAGUGACAGGACACUUUCUUGUCCUUCUCAGGCUUUUUUCUGAAACCUGACGAGACCAGGAUGGAGCAGUAUAAUUUCAUUCCCCUCCCUAAACAUGGCAAUUUCUGUUGAAGUUCUGUGUGAGUCUCUUUUCAUUCUGUAAGUGGCGCUAAAUGGUCCUGUGGCAUCGGUGUGGGAUCAGGAGACUGCUGUGACAAGAAAGGUAGGCAGACCUCUGUGAGGGCCUCAUGUCAACACAUUCAUCAAAAUUCUGAUAUUUACGCUGCUGACUGGCCUCUAGAUAACUUUAAUUAAAGAAAAAUUGGAUCUGUUGUGUAGCCUUUUGGUGCAAUUGACUGCCCAAGAUGGGCUUUGAAUGUUGAAUCUGGCCUGGUCCUCUGGUUUGAGAGCAGCCUGUGAGUUUCAGCUUCUCUCAUGUUCAUGCUCUUUUAUCUUUAGGUGGGACAGUGGGGGACUGGAUAUUUCACAUCAAAAGACAGGAAAUUAGAUGUUAAAUUUGUUAGUUUUUAAUAAUUACAUUGGUGUUUUCGUUUGCACUGUAAAUGAACCCCACCGGCCAUUCCACAUCCACCAGGCUUCCUGCAUUUAGUUUUGUGGGUCAGUUUGUGGCAAUGACAUGUUGGUGUCUGUCCUUCCCCAGGGCCUCAGGCUCUGCUCUCAGGAAGAUGAGCAAAACAUCUUACGAGUCCUUCUUUUCUUCAGUUUUCCUUUCCCCUCCCACUGAACCCGUGGUGCUCAGCUGUCAGGUUGGUACGGCUCACCUUACCUUGAUCUGUGCUUGGAGAGGGCAGUUUGAAAAAGCAGCUUCUGCUUUUAAUCAGCCAGAAUGAUUUCUGGUUUACAUGUUAUGAAAACCAUUUGACAAGCAAACACAUUUUCUUCAGCAAGCAUCAAUGACAUCAAUUUUCUUUUUCUCCUGAGGACUACCCCGCAAUUAACGGUUCCUUUGUUUUUCAAGAUAUACUUGGAAAAGAUUUUGUGAGUUUGGCUGCAAUUUGUUAGUCUGAGAAUGGCAUUUUCUCUUCCAUAGUACUUUUUUCAAGAUUACUUACACAGGGCUUGUUUUGGCUUUGAAGGAAGGAAAAAUACCCCAAACCACUUAAUUUAGAAAAAUCAGCAGUGGAAGGGAAAGGUUGGGCACUAACUCUGGGGUGGGACUGCCAUAGCUGAUAGGCAUUGUGUGGCUGUGGGUUUCAGCUUGGCCUCAAUGACUUCAACACACAAUAGUAAAUAAUAUUGGGCUGGAUUGCAUGUAUGUCCAUAUUAAUCCCUUAAACAGCCUAGGAGAGUAAGAGCAGAGAUAGACUAAUUUGAAAGCAGGCAAUAAAACAGUAGUGUGUUAAUAUUUAUACACCUUUUUCUUGAGAGAAAGGAUCUCAUUUAGGAACAGUUAAAGAAAAUGAGAACUGGAGUGAUUUGAGUUGGGGGCUGGAAUGGGUUUUCCAGCUCAGACUUCCAGCUUAUCACUGUGGUGCUGCCCAGGUGGAAGAGCACCUCUCUGAAAAAAAAGUAAAAGCAGGUGCUAGUCCCGAGCCUCUGGAACUUUGCACAGAUUUCCUACUGCACUUUAAAGCUGUGCUGCUGCUGCUACUGUGCUUGGUGUCUGUAGUGCUGUUGCAGGAAACAAGGCAUGUGGCAGGGCAACUAGCAGAGGCUGUGGCUGGAGAAGAGGGGCCAUUUAAUUAUUUCUGUCUCCUGUUGUCUUUUCACCUUUUCUGAGGUACUUGUGCAGUCCUGGCUCACGUCAGAUUCCCACUGUUUCUGGAUGACAGUGUGCUAAGAGCUGUCAUCUCUUGCUGUUCCCUUAGUAAGUUUCAUGCUCAUCACUUUAAUAAUGAUCUGACUUCUCCUGGCAAGACAGAGUAGCAUUGGAUCUGUUUGUGCCAGAUCAGUCAUAUUUGUUUUGUUUGCUGACACUAUGCUAUAAGGAGAUCCACUUUUUGCUGUCACUUGACCUGUUGCCACCUCCUGCUGUUCCCUUCUCCCACUGCCAUGAUCCAGCAUGGGUAGCAGACACAGGUUUGUGUGAGGGUGUUUUCAAUUUCCCACUGCCUCUGCAAUGCGUAAAUUGGAAACCUCGGAGCGCAAGGCUUUAUUCCCACUGAGAGAAGGUUUCUCUGUGAACUGGUGAAAGAUUCAGCAGAGGUUUUUGGACCUGACAAUACAAAUUCAUAUUCUCUGCGAGCAAGCCCUGCUUAGUUACACAGACACCAUUUAUUAUUUGCUGAUACCAGUUUUUCUGAGAUAUUUUUUUUAAAGACUUUUUUCCUGCCUCACCAGAAGUAUCUUUGUGAGAAGGUUUUCAAGUUUGCAAUAUGUGCUGCUGUUCUGGCACAAGUGUGAAACAAUAGAGCUCGUGGGGGGUUGGACCCUGUUCCUGCCUGCUCACUGUGAGAAGGGAAGCAAGUAUGGAUUUUGCCACAGGAGAUUAAUCAAAGAUGCUGUUGCCCUCCACAAUGUAAAUUAUUUAUACUCAAUCCAGAGUAUUCUGCUGUGCUUCUGUUUUAUACAGCUGUAAAUGACUUGGAUACAGUCCCAGUGGAAAGUCCUUACUAUUUUGUAAUGGAAAAUAGGAACUCUGCAGUAGAAAUCUAUAAUGAAUGAACAGGAACAUCAUCUUCCAAUUGUAAAUAAGAUCUUGCUCUGUUUAUUUUGACAUCUUUUUACAAAUGUGUUGCAUUCAGGUGUAAAUAUCCCAAACCAUGAUCUUGUUCAGAGUUCUGAGAUUUCUAUUGUUAAAUGUAAUACUUUGUUUAAUAGUUGUAAUAAUUAUUUGUAUAGAUAUGAACAUGAUAGUAUUUUAUUAAAAAAAG